rfam:Mustela putorius furo unplaced genomic scaffold scaffold00305, whole genome shotgun sequence.
GUUUGCUUCAGUAGUACAUACACUAAAAUUGAAGCAAUACAGAGAAGAUAGCAUGGUCCUUGUGUAAAGAUAGACAGACAAGUUCAUGACAUGUUCUGUAUUUUU